GAGGAAUUUUGCGCAAUGGGGGAAACCCUGACGCAGCAACGCCGCGUGAGUGAUGAAGGCCCUCGGGUCGUAAAGCUCUGUCGAGUGGGAAGAACUUGUUGGAUGCUAAUACCAUCCUUCACUGACGGUACCA
rnacentral:rRNA from 1 species